GUAGGGAAUAUUGCACAAUGGAGGAAACUCUGAUGCAGCGACGCCGCGUGAGUGAUGAAGGCCUUCGGGUCGUAAAGCUCUGUCGCAGGGGAAUAACACAAUGAAGGUACCCUGUAAGAAAGGAUCGGCUAACUUCGUGCCAGCAGCCGCGGUAAGACGAGGGAUCCUAGCGUUGUUCGGAAUCAUUGGGCGUAAAGCGGAUGUAGGUGGCUAUGUAAGUCAGAUGUGAAAGCCUGGGGCUCAACCCCAGAAGUGCAUUUGAUACUGCGUAGCUUGAGUGUCGGAGAGGUUACCGGAAUACCUGGUGUAGUGGUGAAAUACGUAGAUAUCAGGUGGAACACCGGAGGCGAAGGCGGGUAACUGGACGAACACUGACACUGAGGCCCGAAAGCGUGGGGAUCAAACAGGAUUAGAUACCCUUGUAGUCC
rnacentral:rRNA from 1 species